CUCUCUUUCCUGACACAGUAUCUCAACAAAACAAAAUACCAAAAUAAAACAAAGGCCAAAACCAAAAGCAGAAACAGAUCAAGCAGCUCAACCUCUCUAGCCUCUUAAUGAAUAAUGAUAGAUCGAACCAGAAGCAAAACAGUUGAGUUGAAGAUCGAAGCUCUAGGUCAAAACACACUCUCUCUUUCUCAAUUUUUGUAGUUUUUUCUUUCGACUUCAUCAAAGUCUAAACCCUAAAUGCUCGCCUUCUCAAGCACAACAACUUCAAAAGGAUUUAUCAUUUUCUUGGAGAUCUUAUAGAGUCGUAUUCUUAGCAUCAUCAAAGUCAGCCGCGUCGAGCCGUCAUGGUCUGUGUGACAAGCUAAAAGGUCACAUUGACUUGAGCAAAAGAAUAGUUAAGCUUGUAAAUAGAGGCAGAACAAUUAGCAAGCUCGUUCACUCUAUCGUGCGACCCGUGCCUGAGACUCUUGGAAUCGAAUUAGAGGUAUUGAUUUUGAUUUGAUUGUCGACAUAUUUUUGUUUUUAGAUUUUUUUUUUUUUUAUAUUUUAUAGUGUUUAAUUAGCAAUAAAUUUGAAUUUCUAGAGUAAUUUAGGUGUACUGGCGAAUUAAAUGUUGAUUUUAUGUAUUUACUUUUUGAUUUGAAAUCCGCUUUCUCUUAAGUGUUAUUCGUUUGUGUUUCGAAUGCAGGUUUAGUGCUUGAUGAAUUGCCUCAUUCGGGUCUACUUUUUAUGAUGCAGAAAACUUAUUGUUUUUUUUUUCUAUCUAAAUUUGGUUGUUAUUAAUUAAUAAAAGUAGAGAGAUUCAGUUGUUAUUCUUGGUUCUUUAUGCAGAUGGUGCUCUUGCUUUUCUUCUGUGUUCUAUUCUUUUUGUUCAAGAUAUUUAUAGUUGUCGAUCCAAUAUUUAUUUAUUCAUUAGUUUUUACUGAAAGCAUAAAUACUCUUCCACUCGCCAAAAAUUAUUUUAUUCCAGUAGUUUUUCAAUUGUAAUGCCAGCUAGGUCCUACCAAUGCUAUUAUUUUAUGCCAGUAGUUUGAGUUCAGGUUCCCAGUGGUUUUCUUCAUUUUAAACGUGGUUAGGCAAUUGGAGUAUUGAUAACAUUCAAGCCGUUUUUAGUUCAACGCCGCAACUAGAGAAAGAUCCUUUUAAUUUUCAAGCCAAUUAAGUUUUCGGAAUGCUUCAACCAAGUUAUUUCUUUGGGGUUCCAC
rnacentral:lncRNA from 1 species